rnacentral:lncRNA from 1 species
AUUGCAACGAGGCUGACAUGGCUGAUGGGACUGCUCCCUCUGCCACUCAUACCUGAGACCCCAGACACUGUAGAAAGAACGCAGCCUUUGCAGCUGGGCAGCCACUGUGGGUUUUGUUUCCCCAGGUCCUCCUGCUCCACCACAGGCCAUCUCCCUGGGCCUCAUCCAGACAGCUGGACACUGAGCACAGCUCUGUUGUCCUCUUCCCUGGGCUGAGUGGACUCAGAGGUGCUGGGGACUGCAUGGCCGCCGGACGAGGCGGGGGCUUUCCAACCCAACACCACCGAGCCUGCCUCUUCCUGCCCUGGAUGCUAUGUCUUCCAUAGAGCCGCUUUUCCAACACAGCAGGAAUUGGGAUCCUGACACAUCCACCAAAGAGCCUUUGAGUACUUCGAAAUCACUUGGAACAGGUUCCUGCAAAGCAAACCCUUCUGGGCUUGAGGAGGAAAUGGACCCGGAACAUUCAGCCCAUCUGAGCACAA